GAAAGAUUUAUCGCUUUAAGAUUGGCCCGCGGAAGAUUAGGUAGUUGGUGGGGUAAAGGCCUACCAAGCCGACGAUCUAUAGCUGGUCUGAGAGGACGAACAGCCACAUUGGAACUGAGACACGGUCCAGACUCCUACGGGAGGCAGCAGUGAGGAAUAUUGGGCAAUGGAGGAAACUCUGACCCAGCCAUGCCGCGUGAGUGAAGAAGGUUUUCGAAUUGUAAAGCUCUUUCGGAUGUGAAGAUGAUGACGGUAACAUCUAAAGAAGCCCCGGCAAACUUCGUGCCAGCAGCCGCGGUAAUACGAAGGGGGCAAGCGUUGUUCGGAAUUACUGGGCGUAAAGGGUGUGUAGGCGGGAAAGUAAGAUAGUGGUGAAAUGCCUGAGCUCAACUUGGGAACUGUCAUUAUAACUAUUUUUCUAGAGUGACAGAGAGGAUAUUGGAAUACCCAGUGUAGAGGUGAAAUUCGUAGAUAUUGGGUAGAACACCGGAGGCGAAGGCGAGUAUCUGGCUGUCAACUGACGCUGAGGCACGAAAGCAUGGGGAUCAAACAGGAUUAGAUACCCUGGUAGUCCAUGCUGUAAACGAUGAAUG
rnacentral:rRNA from 1 species